CCAUCAAGCGCUCCUCUCCCCUCUCUACAAUAGCGCAGGGCGACCCGGAUUAAUCUCCGCCGCGUGUGGCGCUCCUCUGGCACAACCGCCAGCGCGGGCCGCGUCCGCGGCUCACAUGGAGUCCCCCUUGCGGCCUUGCCCAGACUAGGGUGGCUGGUCGGGCCGAGAUAGGGGGCUCCUGACAGCGUUCGCGCCUGCCUCUGCCGACGCCGUUGGCUACCUUCGCUCCUCCUACGCCCCUACCGUAGCAGUCGCGCCCGCCGCUGACGACGCCGCCGGCUACCUCCCCUCCUCCUUUGUCCCCAGCCGGUAUCCUUGGUGGCCUCGGUUGAGCGCUGAUUCGUCCAUUGCUCCCUGCAGAUGGAAGAUAUGUACAUGUCUAGAGGAGGCUGCAGCAUGCGGUGGUGGCCUAUGUUGGUCGGCGGAAUCACACCGGCCACUGGGGUUUCACCUGGAAGGAUGCUCUAGCCGCCGACUCUGCCAUGGAGUGGACGCCGCGCCGGUCAGGUUCCCAGCCGGUUGACACGGCUUUCUUUUCGGCCUCGGAUGGCUAGGCUAAUGGUGAUGCCGAGUAGGGCCUCGAUUGACAUCCAUGGCUUCCAGGAGCAUUGGAUCGAUCUCAUCCCGUCGGCCCCGACUGAUUCAGAGAGCACAUUGUAGUUCAGCAACGUGAAGGAAGUUCUGUUCCUUUCCAUUGGUGAUGGAUUUGUGGGGAACGAGACAUCAAACUUUCAACUAUGGCGAGGAUAUCUCUGGGGUUCAAGGUUCUUUUCUCUAUGUUCGUAUUCUGUCAGUAUUUUUUUCAUAUACACUAACCACACAACCCACUACUUCAGGCCCAAUGCAGCCCAGUGACCGUCCAAUACUCUUUAUCUUCCCCCGUUGCCAUAUAGGCCAUGUAAUAGCGCAUGCUUCUAUAAACACAACAAUUGACGUUUGGCGCUCCCUCUCCUAAUAAUAAGUUAAUAACUGAGAUGGCGCUCCUCUUCCUCUCCCCACAGUCUUCACAAGUAACUGACGGAUUGUUGUUUAAAGUAUGUGCUCUGCCUCACCUUAUUUCUCAUUGUGCUCCAGCACGGCUGGGUGUCUGCCAUAGCACUCCUACUGCAGCCAUCCGUCAGCAACUACCUCCGAUUUCCUCCAAAUCCCCUAUGACAUGUUGCUACUUGCAUCACAAAUUGCAUUUUCUUAGGUGGUGCCUGCUGGACGACGUCCAAGUGUUCAUCUUCGCUGGUCUUCCAAUCUCUGCAUAUAUAGGUAACUUAGGCACCUAUUGGUACGUUUAAACCUAAAUUUAAUUUUGCUUGAUUGAAUCUGUAACCUUUUUUCAUAAACCUCCGUGCUUAUUGAAUCCCUCUGAUCAAACUUAUGCUUUCUGUGUGUAAUGCUUCACAAAACUCCAUGCUUAUUGCAUUCCUCUAAUUAAACUACCAGGAUGAUGCCGACAGACCUACCAGGUAUAACAACACUAACAUGCCUAUAAUGCACAUGAUUUCAUUAUAACUAGAUGAACUACAUACAUGCUCUCUUUUUAUUGAUCAGUUGGCUUAGCCCAUAAGAGAAUUAUCUUAUCUAGGUGUAGCUACAGGAACAAGACUGUAGUCUCCCCAAAAGACACAAGCAAGACAAUGCAGAAAAUAAUAAUCCUGCAACCAACUCUGAACAUCCGGAGUAAACCAAACAUGCAGAAAAAUUAGGACAACAUCCGUUGUGCUACCGCUAAAAAUAAUCUUCGCCUUCCAUUGUAAUCCAGAAAUGUUAUCAAAUGAAAUACUUAUGUUUCGUGCAACAACACAUCUACGUAUGAUAUUGAGUGCGACCACAUGCAUCUGCAUGGAUAUAUUAUAAACAAAUGCCACGACUUCAAUUUCCCCUGCAACAUGUCCUAAUUUGUCCCGCUCAACUAUGUAUGUAGUGCU